GCAGUCGAGCGAGCUUGCCUAGAUGAAUUUGGUGCUUGCACCAAAUGAAACUAGAUACAAGCGAGCGGCGGACGGGUGAGUAACACGUGGGUAACCUGCCCAAGAGACUGGGAUAACACCUGGAAACAGAUGCUAAUACCGGAUAACAACACUAGACGCAUGUCUAGAGUUUAAAAGAUGGUUCUGCUAUCACUCUUGGAUGGACCUGCGGUGCAUUAGCUAGUUGGUAAGGUAACGGCUUACCAAGGCAAUGAUGCAUAGCCGAGUUGAGAGACUGAUCGGCCACAUUGGGACUGAGACACGGCCCAAACUCCUACGGGAGGCAGCAGUAGGGAAUCUUCCACAAUGGACGCAAGUCUGAUGGAGCAACGCCGCGUGAGUGAAGAAGGGUUUCGGCUCGUAAAGCUCUGUUGGUAGUGAAGAAAGAUAGAGGUAGUAACUGGCCUUUAUUUGACGGUAAUUACUUAGAAAGUCACGGCUAACUACGUGCCAGCAGCCGCGGUAAUACGUAGGUGGCAAGCGUUGUCCGGAUUUAUUGGGCGUAAAGCGAGUGCAGGCGGUUCAAUAAGUCUGAUGUGAAAGCCUUCGGCUCAACCGGAGAAUUGCAUCAGAAACUGUUGAACUUGAGUGCAGAAGAGGAGAGUGGAACUCCAUGUGUAGCG
rnacentral:rRNA from 1 species